GCUAAUCAAGAGUGAGUCAGCAAACCGAGUUGUUCCCCUUGCAGAUCAUUAAUGGUGACGGUGCUGAAAAUAGAUAGAUAAUGAUGCAUGUGCAUUGCCUACCAGUGAAGAAUUGGUAUCCCCUACCUUAGAUAGAGGACUUACUGGACUAUCUCCAACAUUAUCUUAACCAAACUAGAUAUCAAGUUGGGUUAUCAUCAAGUCUGAAUUCGAAAAGAAGAAACAUGGAAAAUAGGCUUCAAAAUGCAUCAAUGGUUGUUCGAGUGACUGGUCAUGCAAUUCAGACUUUGCAACACCCCUGCCACAUUCAUGCAGUUCAUGGACGACAUGUUAUGUCCACACAUUAGUGACUUUGUCAUCAUCUACCUCAACAACAUCCUUAUUUAUAGUCGAUCGAGGGAAGAACAUAUUGAGCAUAUAUAGGAGGUGGUCGACCUUUCAGAGAAAUAUCAACUAUGGCUCAACCUAAAGAAGUGCAAGUUUGAGAAAGAAAACCUCCUUUAUCUUGGCUUUGUCAGAGGUGGAAGAAAGAUCCAGAUUGACUAGGACAAAGUCAAGGUGAUCUACAAGUGGCCGAGUUUAACAACAGCCAUGGAGGUUCGGAGCUUCAUGGGGGCAUGCUAAUAUCUCCGGAAGUUCAUCCGAAACUUCUUCGUCCUUGCUGCACUACUAUACUCCCUCAUCGAGGCAAGUUAAAACUUAGAGUGGAUGACAAAACACAACGAUAUGCUCCUCUUGCUCAAGAGAAGAUCAACGAUGCUCUCAUCCUACCCUUGUCGAACUUGCAAUGAUCAUUUGAGUUCGAGGAGGACAUAUUCUAAUAUACGAUGGGAGCUAUUUUGAUGUAAGAUGGUCAAUUGAUGACAUACCUCUCCGAGAUGUUUCAAGUUUCUCAGAAGAACUACCCAACAUAUGACAACAAAUUACUCAUGCUAAACCAAGCCAUCAAGCAUUAGCAUG
rnacentral:lncRNA from 1 species